GAUGAAGAACGCAGCAAAAUGCGAUACUUGGUGUGAAUUGCAGAAUCCCGUGAACCAUCGAGUUUUUGAACGCAAGUUGCGCCCGAAGCCUUUUGGCCGAGGGCACGUCUGCCUGGGCGUCACGCAUCGCGUCGCCCCCCACAAUUCUCCGUAAAGGGAACAUGUGUUUUGGGGGCGGAUAUUGGUCUCCCGUGCUCAUGGCGUGGUUGGCCGAAAUAGGAGUCCUUUCGAUGGACGCACGAACUAGUGGUGGUCGUAAAAACCCUCGUCUUUUGUUUCGUGCUGUUGGUCGCAAGGUAAACUCUUUAAAAACCCCAAUGUGUCGUCUCUUGACGACGCUUCGACCGCGACCCCAGGUCAGGCGGGACUACCCGCUGAGUUUAAGCAUAUAAUAAGCGGAGGA
rnacentral:misc_RNA from 1 species